GAAAAAGAAAGAAAUUUCAGUUUCUACCUUUUCAAGAAAAACAACGCAUCCUGACAGAAAAGGAGUGGAACAGACGGGAGCAGGAGCUGAUGGAGAGAAUGAUGAAAGCUUUAGCAAAGGAACCAGAGAAACCAACAGUGCCCUCUGUGGAGGUGGCAAGAAGCAAGGAUGACUUUAUGAUUCCAGACAUGAGCGGAGAUGUUUCCUCAGAAUAUGGGAGCAUUUCAGAGAAUAGGAACCAACAAGCUCAUAACAACGUUGCUGAAUGGCUUGCUAAGAGAGUGAGGCAGUCUGAGAUCAGCUCUGGGAUUGGCAGCAUUUGUUCCUCAGUCAGUUAUAUGGAGAAACAUGAUGAAGAUCUCCAAUAGAUUAAAAUCAUCCAAAGAUGAGUUCAUUCUCACAGAGAAUAAAGAUCCUCUGAACAUUUUCUCCAAUCCUUCAACUAAACACAGGAACUCUUGUUCAACCAAAAAGCUACAGCAGAGAAAAUGAUGGAAGCUAAAGGAAAACACAGGAUGG